UACUAAUGAAGAUAUGGCUGAUCAGGCAAUUGGAGAAUCUGAUGACUAUGUGUCUUGGGGUUGAUCUUCUUGUGGAGUAUCUUAGUGGUAUUCUCUGUUUUUCCUGAAAUUGAAUGUUGGCCUGUCUUGCUAGGUUGCAGAAGUUCUCCUGGAUAAUAUUCUGAAGUGUGUUUUCCAACUUGGUUCCAUUCUCCCUGCCUCUUUCAGGUACUACAAUCAAUCAUAGGUUCAGUCUU
rnacentral:lncRNA from 1 species